UCUGCGCUGCGAUCCGCUGCCGUCACACUCUCGGGGUGGGGUUUCUAGUUUAGCUGCGCGGAGAAUAGCGACUGUCUGGGAGAGUGAUGUCACAUAACGAAUAGACGAGCGACCGAACCAGUGGCUGAUUGUAAUAGCUGGGAAAGCGGCACCUGUUGAAUAACAGGCUCACAACGAUAUUCCCGUUUUCCGUAUUUCUUCGAAGCUUUUGGCUGCGUUUUAAAAGUUCAGAAUGACGGAUACAAUACUUACCAACGGAAUCAAGGACCGAGCGGGUCAGAAUGGAUAUUUUAAAAAGGGAUGUAACCCACUAGCCCUGACGGGCCGCUCCAAGCUGCAGAAUGAGAGAGCCAGUCUCAACCAACAGAUCAUCAGACAGAUGAGGAUGAGAGCCGGGGCAGAGAACUUACUAAGGGCGACCUCCAAC